GAAAGAAAAUUAACCGGUAUAUCGAGAGCUUUGCCUUCCGGCUCAGCUCUCUUUUCGUCACAACGGUGUGGUAAAGCGAAUGCAAUACCGCCCACGCUACUCCAAUUUUCCGGCCAAUCUCCUGCUCCAUUGUUCCCGAGAUACUUUCCGGCCAAUCUCCCGAACAAGACCCCGAGAUACUUGAACUCCUUUACUUGGGGUAACGCCUCAUUCCCUACCCGGAGGAGGCACUCCAUCGGUUUCCUGCUGAGAACCAUGGCCUCAGAUUUAGAGGUGCUAAUCCUCAUCCCAACCACUUCGCACUCUGCUGCGAACCGGUCCAGUGAGUGCUGAAGGUCACAGACCGAUGAUGCCAUCAGGACCACAUCAUCACAUCACCCAUGCCAUGUGCACUAAUGCACCACCAUACCAUCACGGAUGCUGGCUUUUGUACUGUGUGCUGAUAACAAGCCAGAUGGUCCCUCUACUCUUUAGUCCAGAGGACACGCCGUCCAUGAUUCCCCAAAAAAAUUCACAUUUUGAUACGUCAGACCACAGGUCAUUUUUCACCUCAGUCCAUCAUAAAUGACCUUGGGCCCAGAGAAGGCGGUGGUGUUUCUGGAUCUUGUUUAUAUAUGGUUUCUUUGCAUGAUAGUUUUAACUUGCAUUUGUGGAUGCAGCAACGUAACGUGUUCACAGACAAUGGUUUUCGCAAGUGUUCCUGAGCCCAUGCAGUGAUGUCCACUGCAGAAUUGUCUCUGUUUUUAAUGCAGUGCAGCCUGAGGGCAUGAAGAUCUGGGGCCUACAUUAUUGGUUUUCGGCCUUGUCCUUUGCAUAUAGAGAUUUCUCUGGAUUCUCUGAAUCUUUUAAUGAUAUUAUGUAUCGUAGAUGAUGAGAUCCCAAACUCUUUGCUAUUCUACGUUGAGAAUUGUUAUUCUUAAAUUGUUGCACUUUGCCCGCGCAGUCUUUCGGUGGUGAACCCCUCCCCAUCCUCACUUCUGACAGACCCAUCCUCUCUGGAAUGAUCUUUUACUACCCAAUCACGUUACUGGCCUGUUGCCAAUUGACCUAAUUAGUUGUGUGAUAUUGGACCAGGUUUUUUUUUUUUUUAGCAUUACACAACUUUUACAGUCUUUUGUUGCUUCCGUCUCACCUUUUUUUAGGUGUUGUGGGCAUCAAAUUCAAAGUGGGCAUAUUUUUCAAGAAACGAUUGUCUCGGUAUUUUAUGUUGUUUUUGUACUAUUUUCAUUGGCACGACUGGUACAAAUUAUUUGUCUAUGAAUUGGGCAAUGUCGGGAAUUAGGGUAUAGUUUAGAAUGCAAUAUGUCCCACAGCAGACUAACUGAUUUCCAUAGAUGUCAACAGAAAUAAAUACUUAAAAAAACAACUAUUUGACUUGUCUUGUUACAUAGGUUUUAUUUGACCAGGUACAUUGACUGAGAACACAAAUUACUUGGGAAGGAGUUACUGUGUAGGGGAUAGGCUUGGGCCAGUUUAAAGGAGUGAGGCUUUGGACAGUUCUAAAGCAACACUAAAACCAUACCUCUAACUGCUAUUUCUUUGUUCAGGGCAUACACAACCUACA
ensembl:lncRNA